rnacentral:rRNA from 1 species
UACGAAGGGGGCUAGCGUUGUUCGGAAUCACUGGGCGUAAAGGGUGCGUAGGCGGGUCUUUAAGUCAGGGGUGAAAUCCUGGAGCUCAACUCCAGAACUGCCCUUGAUACUGAGGAUCUUGAGUACGGGAGAGGUGAGUGGAACUGCGAGUGUAGAGGUGAAAUUCGUAGAUAUUCGCAAGAACACCAGUGGCGAAGGCGGCUCACUGGCCCGUAACUGACGCUGAGGCACGAAAGCGUGGGGAGCAAACAGG